rnacentral:lncRNA from 1 species
AAGACCUCAGGAUUUCUGAAUGACAAGCUUCAUAAGAUAAGAUGAAGCUGUGACAAGCACAUGGGUCACCACAAUCAAGUGUCUCUGUGAAGGAGCUGGGAGCAGGAUCAGCUACCUCCAUGAAAGUACUACAGAAUCUUACAAUCCUUGUAAGAUGAAACAGAGAAGAGCCAACAACUGCGGUUCUAAUAAAGAUGAUGAGAAGAAAAAAAGAUGGUCAUUAAAAGGCA